CCCCACACACUUUUCGAUGCCGACCUUCCACUUCCAAAAUAUGGGCUGCAGCGUUAAGCGGACGGUUCACAAACUUGGAGUCCCCUUCCACAAUCAACCGUCGAAAGCC